rnacentral:rRNA from 1 species
AUACGUAGGUGGCAAGCGUUGUCCGGAAUUAUUGGGCGUAAAGCGCAUGUAGGCGGUUUGGUAAGUCGGUCGUGAAAAUGCGGUGCUUAACGCCGUAUGGCGAUUGAAACUGCUGAACUUGAGUGCAGGAGAGGAAAGGGGAACUCCCAGUGUAGCGGUGAAAUGCGUAGAUAUUGGGAAGAACACCGGUGGCGAAGGCGCCUUUCUGGACUGUGUCUGACGCUCAGAUGCGAAAGCCAGGGUAGCGAACGGGAUUAGAUACCCCGGUAGUCCUGGCCGUAAACGAUGGGUACUAGGUGUGGGAGGUAUCGACUCCUUCCGUGCCGGAGU